GCCAGGCAUGGUGGUGCGUGCCUGUAAUCCCAGCUACUCAGGAGGCUGAGGCAGGAGAAUCACUUGAACCCGGGAGGCGGAGAUUGCAGUGAGCCAAGAUCGGGCCAUUGCACUCCAGCCUGGGUAACAGAGUGAGAUUCCAUCUCAA
ensembl:misc_RNA Metazoa_SRP Metazoan signal recognition particle RNA